rnacentral:snoRNA from 11 species
GCACCUGAAUCUUUCCCAGGCCUCGCAAAACAAGUGGGGGUCUGGGGACAAGGGGUGCUAAAGCAAAGCAGAGGAAAUCCAGAUGGGCCGCCUCUUAUCUGCAGUGAGGGCCUGUCUCUACACCUUCUGCUACACUG